GACAUUUAACCAACUGCGCCACCCAGGCACCCCAGUGAGAGCCAAAUUUUUAAGGAGUAAAUAGUUGAAUAGUUUAGGAUUUCUUUCUUUAGCCCUAGAAUGGAAAUCUGAUAAAAACGAUAGUGACUUCUGAGUACUUGAAACGUAACAAUAAAACCUAAAAUAUAAUUUAAAUGAGAUUGUGCAAAACCUCCAGGAUGUAGAAGACCAGAUAUCCUUCCGUCUUGGGCCUCACUCUGUAGGGAGUUGGGAAGGGGUGUCUGUGCAGUUUGGAACAGUAGCAUUUGAGGUCAGUGUUGCUUUUCCACCUUUUCAGUCCAGCACAAGAAUGCAGGAUGCUUUUCCAGCCUUGGAAUAUCUGUAAACCAGUCUGUGAGGAAUGAAUAAAAGCAUAAGAAAGGAAGGAGUAGGGAAGCUAAUCAAAGGUUUUUUGAGUUUUUCACAAACACAUUUCUCUUUCUUUUCCCUAGUGGUGAUUCAGUUCUGGGAUCAUCAUGUGACUCUGUUCUGUCAUUGCCAGUUCUGCAGAAAACUUCCACCUUCAAGCACAAGAAUCCCUGGAGGGCAGAUUUAUUCACCUACAGUUUCCAGAAGCCAUCUGAUUAUAAUCACCAUGGAUGAUGGGACUCAGGCUUUGGGAAUUUGAGUAACUUGACUGAGGCCCAGAAGCUGCUCCUGAUUGG